rnacentral:rRNA from 1 species
UACGAAGGGGACUAGCGUUGUUCGGAAUUACUGGGCGUAAAGCGCACGUAGGCGGAUUUAUAAGUCAGGGGGUGAAAUCCCGGGGCUCAACCUCGGAACUGCCUUUGAUACUGUAGAUCUCGAGUCCGAUAGAGGUGGGUGGAAUUCCUAGUGUAGAGGUGAAAUUCGUAGAUAUUAGGAAGAACACCGGUGGCGAAGGCGGCCCACUGGAUCGGUACUGACGCUGAGGUGCGAAAGCGUGGGGGAGCAAACAGG